rnacentral:rRNA from 1 species
CUACGGGGGGCUGCAGUGGGGAAUAUUGGACAAUGGGCGAAAGCCUGAUCCAGCAAUGCCGCGUGAGUGAUGAAGGCCUUAGGGUUGUAAAGCUCUUUUACCCGGGAUGAUAAUGACAGUACCGGGAGAAUAAGCUCCGGCUAACUCCGUGCCAGCAGCCGCGGUAAUACGGAGGGAGCUAGCGUGGUGUCGGAAUUACUGGGCGUAAAGCGCACGUAGGCGGCUUUGUAAGUUAGAGGUGAAAGCCUGGAGCUCAACUCCAGAAUUGCCUUUAAGACUGCAUCGCUCGAAUCCAGGAGAGGUGAGUGGAAUUCCGGGUGUAGAGGUGAAAUUCGUAGAUAUGCGGAAGAACGCCAGUGGCGAAGGCGGCUCACUGGACUGGUAUUGACGCUGAGGUGCGAAAGCGUGGGGAGCAAACAGGAUUAGAUACCCCUGUAGUC